GGAUGAGAGUAUGAAAGAUUGAUCAUGAAUUGACAAUUGUUGAAAUUUUGCGAUGGGUACAUGAGAGUUUAUUACAUAGUGUUCUAUCUAUUUUUGUAUAUGUUUCAAUUUCUCCAUAUUAAAAAGUUAAAAAAAAUCCUAGUGCACAUUGUUCGUUUUGCUGAUACCACAUAAAUUCCAUGAGUACAUGGUGGAGAGGAGAGAUAGGGAGGUGAAAAAGGAAGGGAAAGGAAGAGAAGAGGAGAUCAAGAUUGUAUACAAGACGCUGCCCACUUCUCCCCUACAGCCUGGGCUGGGAAGGAAGAGAAAAUGAUCAGAACAUAAUCAACCAACCCAACCACAUCUUGGUGAUGCACCUCAAAGGAAAUGAAUGAGACUUUACUUUUGAAGAGUGUGUGGGGGCUUAGCUUUUUACUCUGUCUGGGGAGAAAACUCCAGUUUAUUCUGGAAUAUGUCUCCACAACUCUGAUUUAUUUCAUCCAUCUGUCUCUGUGGAUCUCUUUCUGGCUUUGCAGGUGACAUGGAUGCUGCUGGACUGGGAUACACAUUUUGAGAACCACUGAUUUACUAUGAAUUAUAUUUGGAGCUAAGCUGACUCUCUUGAGAGUAAGUUUUACUUUCACUUAUUUGUUCCCCAUUGGUCUAUCCCUCAAAAGUGUUCCU
rnacentral:lncRNA from 1 species